rnacentral:rRNA from 1 species
GGGGAAUAUUGGACAAUGGGCGCAAGCCUGAUCCAGCCAUGCCGCGUGAGUGAUGAAGGCCUUAGGGUUGUAAAGCUCUUUCACCGGAGAAGAUAAUGACGGUAUCCGGAGAAGAAGCCCCGGCUAACUUCGUGCCAGCAGCCGCGGUAAUACGAAGGGGGCUAGCGUUGUUCGGAAUUACUGGGCGUAAAGCGCACGUAGGCGGAUCGAUCAGUCAGGGGUGAAAUCCCAGGGCUUAACCCUGGAACUGCCUUUGAUACUGUCGAUCUAGAGUAUGGAAGAGGUGAGUGGAAUUCCGAGUGUAGAGGUGAAAUUCGUAGAUAUUCGGAGGAACACCAGUGGCGAAGGCGGCUCACUGGUCCAUUACUGACGCUGAGGUGCGAAAGCGUGGGGAGCAAAC